CUAAACUUCCGGAAUAUAGAAACGCCUCGACUCAGUCUCUGUAAGUUGAAAGUUUGUUGUUAAAUGAAAACACUAGAUUAUCAAAAAAAAAAAAAAACAACAAAAAAACACGAAACUAAAAGACAAAUCACAAGCUUUAUAUUUGGUAAUUAUCGGAACUUGCAUCUUACAAAGGAUGAACAAUAAAUUCAACUAUAGGCCGGCUUUUUCUGAUAUAAAAAUUUCCUUGAAGUUGAGUUGAGGUCAGAGUUGUUUUCAGAGUAGGCUGUCUCUCUCUCGAUGGGUAAAAUCAGAAAGCCGAAAGGUUUUUGUUUUAACUAAAAUAUCUGACAUAUAGUUCAACACGUUAAAAACAACUCAAUUAAAUGACUAUCCAAUAGACUUUAUGAGGGGUACAUAGAUUCAAGACAAC
rnacentral:lncRNA from 1 species